rnacentral:rRNA from 1 species
CCGCACACGACGAAGGGCUAUCAGCUUGUUGGUGAGGUAAUGGCUCACCAAGGCGUCGACGGGUAGCCGGCCUGAGAGGGUGACCGGCCACACUGGGACUGAGACACGGCCCAGACUCCUACGGGAGGCAGCAGUGGGGAAUAUUGCACAAUGGGCGGAAGCCUGAUGCAGCAACGCCGCGUGAGGGAUGACGGCCUUCGGGUUGUAAACCUCUUUUAGCAGGGAAGAAGCGAGAGUGACGGUACCUGCAGAAAAAGCACCGGCUAACUACGAGCAAGCAGCCGCGGUAAUACGUAGGGUGCAAGCGUUAUCCGGAAUUAUUGGGCGUAAAGAGCUCGUAGGCGGUUUGUCGCGUCUGCUGUGAAAUCCCGAGGCUCAACCUCGGGCCUGCAGUGGGUACGGGCAGACUAGAGUGCGGUAGGGGAGAUUGGAAUUCCUGGUGUAGCGGUGGAAUGCGCAGAUAUCAGGAGGAACACCGAUGGCGAAGGCAGAUCUCUGGGCCGUAACUGACGCUGAGGAGCGAAAGGGUGGGGAGCAAACAGGCUUAGAUACCCUGGUAGUCCACCCCGUAAACGUUGGGAACUAGUUGUGGGGUCCUUUCCCGGGAUUUCCGUGACGCAGCUAACGCAUUAAGUUCCCCGCCUGGGGAGUACGGCCGCAAGGCUAAAACUCAAAGGAAUUGACGGGGACCCGCACAAGCGGCGGAGCAUGCGGAUUAAUUCGAUGCAACGCGAAGAACCUUACCAAGGCUUGACAUACACCAGAACACCGUAGAAAUACGGGACUCUUUGGACACUGGUGAACAGGUGGUGCAUGAUUGUCGUCGCUCGUG